CUGCACAAUAAAAACGAAAAUCAGGAUUAAAGACAUUUAAUUUCCUUAAAACUGUCAUCGAGAGUUGAAAUCCACUAUUUUGAGAUCUUAAGGGCAAUGGAAAUGCAGGGAAUUUUGCAAGAAUGAAAAAGAACUCCAUCCUAGUUUGAAAUAUGGAAAGGAUUUCGAAUUAAUCAAGUUUAAAAUAGGUCAUACACUGCAGAAGAAAUCAAGCCAUGAAGGACGUCGGCAUCUCUUGCCGUUAUUAACAUUUGACAUUUCCCUGAGAGACUAUCAAAAACGUUAGCAUAUUCAACAUUCCAUACAUCAUCAAGGACGACUAAGGUGCUUUCAUUUACCUUAAAAUAUAAAGUAUGGUUUGUAAGGUGAAUGUGAUAUGAACUUUUUUCAUUUUUAAUUUUCAAUGUUUGUCUACAUAACUUUAAACGUGCUCACGAAACUAACUGACUUUUUGUUAUUAAAUGAUAUUUUUACUGAAAA